rnacentral:rRNA from 1 species
CCCUUAGAUGUUCUGGGCCGCACGCCUGCUACACUGAGUGGAUCAGCGGGUCAGGUUGCGCGAAAGUGUUUCCUAAUCUUGAAAUCCGCUCGUGAUGGGGAUUGACGGUUGCAAUUUUCCGUCAUGAACGAGGAAUACCUUGUAAGCGCGGGUCAUCAUCCCGCGCUGAAUACGUCCCUGCCCUUUGUACACACCGCCCGUCGCUCCUACCGAUUGAGUGGUCCGGUGAGGCUUUGGGAUCUGAGCGGAAAGAGCGUUUCGCUGUUUCUGCUCGGAAAACUCAGUCGAACCUUAUCAUUUAGAGGAAGGAGAAGUCGUAACA